GACAAUGAGAGAACGGCGCUCUUGCGAUUCGAGUCUCGAACUGUCGAAACGGUAACUGACUCGAGUGAGAAACGUACAGUGAGCUAGGAAAUCAAAUAUGGUUCUGUAGACGACCGACACCCACACAGCUGCAGGUACCGUAAUGCUAAAAACUCCUCCCUCUUAUUUUGUAGUCGUACUACCUGUCACGAACAAGCACAUAUCUGAGUAUUAAAAGAAGUGAUAGUUGCCGUUGCCGUCCUGGUCACCGAUUUAUCAAAUCUUUCGGCUUAGCUCUCUUGAACGGGAGUUUUACUGCUGGUCUGCACUGUAGAUUGCGCCGCGGGAACGGUGUUAAUUACAUGUCCAAGUGGACAACACCGGCCGGCGACGUCAGGCCACAAGGCUGAAAUCUUUGUAGCCUGCCUGACGUCCGUGCGCAACGAGACGGUGGUUGGGAGGAGGUCGGUAGAGUAGAGACGAGGGAGUAGAUUGAACCGCAGGAACAUCCGUAGUAGAGGUUGGACGUACGGCGGUUGCAAUUUGCAAAUCAUGCAAAUGCAACACCAGCUUCUCCAUGCUAGCACUCGAUGUAAUCGAUUUCUCAUUGAUCACUGAUCAGUGCGUGCUUGCUCACUACAUCGGCUGGCCAACGAGCACGUUUCGUUUACAAACUACCGGUCUACAGUAUACAUUGCGCUUGUUCUAAGAAUCAACAACCGGUGCAUCUUGUUGCUCCCCGCCGUUUUUUCCCACCUCCCGAUCCGCCACGGCCACCCCUCCGUCGCAGACCGGUCACGCGACGAAUCCAAGGAAACUGCGUCCACGACAACACAAUUCCAGCUAAGUAAAUCAAUGCCCCGAAACUGAAAAAAAAAACAGAACGAACACGAGCACGCGCGAUCCGUGCCAGGAAGGAAAUAUUCACCUGAUGGGCCGCGCGACGACGGCGUGGCGCCCGAAGAGCGCGCGGAGGAAGAGGCUGGCGCCGUGGAGGAACAGCACCACGCUGCUGCAUCCGACCAGCAGUUCCAGCAUGGUUGCUUGAUCGCGGCUUGGCAACGACCAAGGGGUGUCGCCGCGCGGGAUGGGAUGAUCUCGUUUCGUUGAUGACUUGGUGACUUGUGUUGCGUCGCGGGAGGGGAGAGGUUACUUUGAAGCGAAUAAAUGGCCUGGGAACGACGUGAGGUUGCUUGCUGCUUGGAAUCCCUGUGGUUUAGUUUGGUUUAAAGAGGGAUCGUGGUCGUGGGAGAGAUGGACGGGGAAAGCAGAGCGUCUCCUCUCCUUUUUUUUUCACCCCUGUUCUACAUUUUGUUGCCGUUGCUUUCAGGGAUUUUAUUAUGUGUACUAGUAUUUUAUUCGUUUCGUGCUGUUUGGAGCAGACCUGUCCGUCCAUAAAUAAACAAACAAGAGAAGGGGAUAAUGAUAGGAACGAAAGGGUUAAUCCUUCUUCCAAGAGAAAGAAGUCAGGUCAAUAGGUCAUCAUCAUCCUCAUCACGGCUAUACUACUCCUAACCGAUGAGAUUUUUUUUGUUAAUCAUCCCCAAAAGAGUCUACAGCAAAUGAAUGGACGGUCCUUGUGCGGAUGAACGUGUGGUGGAAGCAGCCACUGCGGUUUAGUAAUCACUCUGAUCCAUAACUAAAUUAACCUGAGACGUGUAUUGUGGAUUACUUUUGACAUGAAGCUCCCUACGUCUGUUUUUCCUUUUCUUUUUGUUGCAGG
rnacentral:lncRNA from 1 species